rnacentral:lncRNA from 1 species
GUGAAGCUGUUGCAUAUGUUCUCUCAGGAAUGUAUGGCAGCGUUAGCCAACUUGGAGUUGGAAAUGCCAUCCUUAUUAUCGUCCAACUCUGUUUUGCUGGUAUCAUUGUGAUAUGUUUAGAUGAACUUCUGCAGAAAGGAUAUGGGCUUGGCUCUGGAAUUUCUCUUUUCAUAGCAACUAAUAUCUGGUGAGCAUCUGGUUCUUUUUCUGGGAUUUUUUUUAUUAAUUUAUCAUUUUGAACAUGGAAUAUUUGAAGAAGCUUUACUAUCUAGCAGCCAGCGUCUGGUGAAUGUGGUCUCAUUUCUGGGUUGACCAUUAACUCUACUGUCAAAUAGUGACAAUUGUUUUGAUCAAUUGGCAGUGAAAACAUCAUCUGGAAGGCUUUUAGCCCCACCACUAUUAAUAGCGGUCGUGGAGCUGAAUUUGAAGGUGCCGUUAUUGCUCUCUUCCAUCUGCUAAUAACUCGGACAGAUAAGGUUCGAGCUCUACGGGAGGCUUUCUAUCGACAGAACCUUCCAAAUGUGACGAAUUUGCUUGCAACAGUCUUGAUCUUCCUUAUUGUUAUCUACUUCCAAGGGUUCCGGGUGGUUUUGCCUGUGAGGUCAAAGAAUGCUCGUGGACAGCAGGGUUCAUAUCCUAUUAAGCUGUUCUACACCUCCAACAUGCCCAUCAUUUUACAGUCUGCUCUUGUUUCCAACCUUUACUUUAUAUCCCAGGUACUUGAGCUUUAAGCUUGUAUACAUGAGUUGCGGUCAUUUUCUUCUGGUGUUAUACUAACAAUUUUAUUUCUUACAGUUGCUGUACAGGAGGUACAGUGGAAAUUUCCUUGUAAAUCUCUUGGGCAAGUGGAAGGAAUCUGAAUAUUCGGGUGGUCAAUACAUCCCUGUUGGUGGUCUUGCUUAUUAUAUAACUGCACCAUCAAGGUAACAUGAUCAUCUUUUUCUUUUGACUUUUUGUAGAUGGUCUAUGUCAUGCCUUACAUUUUUUGUUUGUUGAGUUGUCAAUUUGCUGUGUUUGCUUUCCCUGCGCUCUCUGCCUGUGCUUAAUGAUGAUUAUACUCCUUUAACACACUUUGACAAUAUUUUGCAGCUUGGCUGAUAUGGCAGCCAAUCCUUUCCAUGCUCUAUUCUAUCUAAUCUUUAUGUUGGCUGCCUGUGCACUUUUCUCAAAAACUUGGAUUGAAGUAUCUGGAUCCUCUGCCAGAGAUGUGGCUAAGCAGCUCAAAGUAUGAAUUUUUUGGGACUAUACUUCUCUUAAUUUUGUCAUUCCAUUUCUACAAUAUUUUUGUGCAGUUAUUGAAAUGAGGGUUUUCUUUUGGGGUUCAAGGAUGUUUUAACAAUAUGGGACUUGUUAACUUGUGUUCAAAGCAAUUAUCAUAGUUCCUGUUUUCAUGUAUUUACCAUGGGGGGUCAGCAUCCUGUUCCAGGCUCCAGUACACAUGCUCGAUAGGACCAGUCUUUUUUGCUAGUGGAUUUCAAUUAUGGGAACCAUAGAUACAUUGACUUGGUGAUUUGCUAGGCAUUGUAAAUGACUAAUUACUAGUCAUCUAUUACUUGCCUGCAUGGAUGCAUCAUACAUGAUGUUUUUAAUAUAAAUGGGUUGAUUGGUUGGGUCUGAGUGAUGCAGUUCUGGACCUAGCCAAAAUAACAAAUUGGAUUAGGCUGAGGUGGUACUAAAUAUGCCUGAUCCAUGUAAUAGCUAACUCACAAGAUAUGCAAUGAUGAUGAUUUAUGGUGCAAUCUAUUCAGGUUUUGAAAGUAUUCAUAAUUCACUAAAAGCAUUGUGUCUGGUCAAAGUAUUUGUUGGGAGUGGAUGGUAAUAAUUUUGUAGAGUUUAUUAUUUGAUUUGGAGAGUUAGGCAGUUGAGGGGUCUUUAUUGUUUUUUCUUCUGCAUUAGCCAAACCCAGUCAGCUGUUUAUUUUUUGUCCCUGCAAAGCACAUGUUAGCAUACUGUCUAACUAAGAUAUUAGUUUUUUGGGCUCCCUGUACUAUACAAUAUUGCCUCUUAAUCCUAUAAUGGGACCCCUACCUAAUCUUUUUAUUGCUAAAUAUUGUAUAUAUAUUUGGAAAAUAAUCUGGAAUCAGGUGGUCCUCAAAAUUCUAUAAAGAGGAUCUGCAAUAUUAUCAACUACGUGGAUAUUAAUUAUUUUUUAAGAUGUUUUUAAAUAUUAAUAUAUUUUAUAGGUAAUCAAUGUCUAAUUGGUUUGUGGGGUAGAAAAAAAAUGUUUGCAGUGAACGAACCCCAUUUGAAAAAGAGUGAGAGAGGCAGAAGCAUAUGAUAGUUGUUUCCGGACCUUGAAAGAAGUAUAUAGAGAACUAUUAUCUUUCAGUUCAGUUUCUUAACUUUGUGUUCUGUGUCUUUGAGACUGAUGCUUGUAUUGUCUUGGACCUUCCCUUGUCUCCCCAUUUUGGUUUGAUGUUGUAUUAACUUACCAAACAGUUCGGCUACUGUGUCUAAUUUUCAUGAAUCAUAGAGAAACACACUAUUGUACCAUACGAAUUUGUUUAGCAGUAUGAAUAUAUAGAUUAUGAGGAAUAUUUGUUAGUUACAAUUGGUGGCCAUCAGUUGAAUUUUUGAUGAUUUUUCAGGAACAACAAAUGGUGAUGCCUGGGCAUCGGGAGGCCAACUUGCAGAAAGAGCUAAAUCGCUACAUACCCACUGCUGCAGCCUUCGGGGGUAUGUGUAUCGGUGCAUUGACUGUGCUGGCCGAUUUCAUGGGUGCAAUUGGCUCGGGCACAGGAAUUUUACUUGCAGUGACCAUUAUUUAUCAAUACUUUGAAACAUUUGAGAAGGAGCGAGCCAGCGAGCUUGGCUUCUUUGGGUUCUAAGUUUUUACGUUUUUUACCUGAGG